rnacentral:lncRNA from 10 species
GCAAGGGGCGCGGCGCUGUCCGCUGUGCUGAGGCAGGCGCCGGGCCCGGGAGGCGAGGCCGCGCCCGAGGCUCCUCACGGCCCGAUCGCCCGCUGCCGCGGCUCCUGCAGGCAACGGCCGGGUUUAGCUUUGGCGGCGGCGGCGGCGGGGAUGGGGGCGGCCGGGGGAGGAGGGGCCAGGAGCCGCCGCUGGCCGGGAGGGGGAAGCCGCGGCCCCCAGACUCCGGCGCCGCCGGAGAGGAGCCCCGCCCGGGCCACAGGCUCGGCUACCGCCCCGCGCGAGGCCCCGCCUCCCCUUCCUGCCCUCCCCCUCGUGAGAGCCCCGGAGCUCUGCGCUCGCUUCCGUGGCCCCCGGGACAUCCAGCCUGAAGGACAGUGGGGCAGGAAUUUUUCCGGGGCAAGACGCUUCAGCCUGCAAGGCUGACCGCUCCCGAGCCGCUCGCAGGCCCGCAGUUGGGAGGAGAGCAGUCCAGACUACAGAAAGAGCACGGACAGAGGCGUGGAGAGGAGGCAGUCAGCAAGUUCUUGUAACCGGCCCAUUUGGAAUUAGAGACCAUCCUGAUCCUCACCAAUCCCCACGAACAAAAUCAGACCCUAUUGCAGCCCUGUGUCCAACCGCUGGCCGCCCAGAUACUGUUCCUGCCCGGGGGGCUCCUGGUGUCCCCUUAGGCCUGACAAGGGAGAGACUCUCCGUGUCCAGCACGCAGGCUCCAUUUGCGGGCAGGAGUAUAAAUCCAGUCCCUGCUACCCUGUCUUGGCCAGAAGCAGAAGCCCCCAACAUGCAUAGGAGGAAACCAGGACUCAGAGGCUAAUCCCCUCACCCAAGGUGAGGGAGCCCAUAAGUGGACAGGCAGGAAUCCAACCAGCCCUGGUGCUCUCUUCCCUGGCCCACUGCUCCUGCAUGAACCAACUGAGAAUGCAGAAACCACUCUCAGUAGGAGAAAGUGAACUUUUGUCACCACAGCAAAAAGCUGCUCACAGCAUUGUUACUGCUUUGGAAGCCAGUGGGACAAUUCUUUUGCAUAAAGUUACCCAUUAAAGAGCAACUUUCAGCAUCUUCCAAGCCUCACCUUAAAUGCUCUCUCUUUGCAUCUACAGAAGCCUCUGUGGCAUAUUCCCCACGGUGUUUGCUGUCUAGCAGGAUGCAUAGGUCUGCUGAGAAUGUAGGAUCAGCCCCCUAUAAAAGUAC